GAGCUAUUAGCUCAGCCGGCAGAGCACCUGCCUUUUAAGCAGGGUGUCCCGCGUUCGAAUCGCGGAUAGCUCACCA
rnacentral:tRNA from 1 species